rnacentral:rRNA from 1 species
CAGUAGCCGCGGGAAUACGGAGGGGGCUAGCGUUGUUCGGAAUUACUGGGCGUAAAGCGCACGUAGGCGGCUUGGUAAGUUAGAGGUGAAAGCCCGGAGCUCAACUCCGGAAUUGCCUUUAAGACUGCCGAGCUAGUAGGUGAGAGAGGUAAGUGGAAUUCCGAGUGUAGAGGCGAAAUUCGUAGAUAUUCGGAAGAACACCAGUGGCGAAGGCGGCUUACUGGCUCAUUCUAGACGCUGAGGUGCGAAAGCGUGGGGAGCAAACAGGAUUAGAUACCCCCGUAGUCCCUGUCUCUUAUAC